CCAGACACGGUUAGUGGGGUUUUUACACAGCGAAGUAUAAUCAGGCCUUUCAGCUUUUAAUUUUUAAUGCUUAUUUUUUUUGCUGCAGCUGCUCUUGUGCUCUCACUUUCAGAGGAUGUCAGACUCCUGAAAAGAGAAAUUGUGUUGGUUUAGGUACAGUAGAGCUUACAAACACUACGCUUGGGGUGAGAGACACGGGCUUGGUCUUUAUCAGGAAAGGUUUGGUGUAUGAAGAGAGUGGAGCCGGGUCCAUGGCUGAUACAAGCGGCCCUGACAACGAGCAAGUUUUCUCCGAGGUGCAACAGCCGUGCUUGCGGGGUGUGACGUACGACCAGGUGGCCCUUUGGAGGGACGCUGGCGCGGCUCCGCCUGUGGGCACCGCGCAUCUCUGGAACGGGACCAGCGUGGCAGCGGGCGAGCGCUGCCUGGAACCGGUUUCCCUUUUUUUUCCUGAUUCUCCCUCCCGUCCCACUGGUGCGGCUGGAGCAGGCGAACGUGUGUGGUGUUUAGACACCUGCCGGGCCAAAGCGCAGCAGAUGGCAAGUCUGCAGACAGGCAGGUAGAACAUUCGGCAGAAGGGGGUUGUGGCACAAGCUGCAGCUGCGGAGCCGGUAGCAGUGGAGGCAGCACAUUUCAAAUCUGCUUCAUUGCAAACUGUAUCUUUCAGUCUCUCUGAUGUCUCCGUCCUUUGGCUGUAACAUUCUCCCAAGCGUGGUGGCUUUAUACCACAGAGGUGGCAGCUGUGUCAAAAGCAGUUGUGCCACAUCACUUAACAGACAGUAAUUGCCUCCAGGAAUCUUGAUCUGCUGCAUCAGACAUCGCUUCUUUGAUGAUUAAAGCUGAAAAGACUCUUGUGGAUAUAACCUGAAAUACACUCUGUUGCAGGACCAUGCCAAAAGCAUAGUGCUGAAGUCCUGCAAGAAAACACAGCCAUACAUUGUCUUGAUUUACUUUAAAGGAAACAAAGAAGACAACUCAUAUUCUAGAUGAACAAGGCUUAUGUGACAGCGCUGGUUAUUUUUAAGUCCGAUGGCCAGUUUCAGUCAAAGUGCACAGGGGUAGUGCUCAUCAGAGGGGUCUGACACACUCAGAAGAGAAAGAGGUGGAGUGUCCCGUGAGGAUUUCUGCUCAGAAAGGGGCUGCCACCGAAGAUCAGCUCUUCAACAGCAGAGAGCGCACGUGCAGGAGCCGCUGCGACUGCGUGGGUGCUGCAGCUCUCACGGGUCUCGACGCCAAAGUUAACCAGCCAUAAGACACAAACUGGUGCUGUAUGUCUGUCUGGUCAAAAGAGAAACCGUCCUUCUUUGUCUGAAGCGCAGCCAGAAGUGAAACAUGCAUCUUAGACAUACCUGUUGCUCCCUGGGUGCAGAUAUGGUCUCAAGAGGGGACGCUGAGCCUGGGAUCCCCUGUGCAGUCACAAAGAACAGGGCUCUGCACACCAGGCCUGGCUUACUCUUGUCAUAUCCCUUAGGAUUUUUUUUAAAUGAUUAGUGGUUUGGGGGCUGGCACCUGCAUUUUCCAUUAGCUUGAAAUCCUGAGAAGAAGCAUGAGGUAAUGGGAAAGUGUGCACUUACUAUCUAGCUCAUUCAUUCAGAAAACACUAUGGAGAAAGUGCUUUGUGAGAGCAUUUUCUUGGAAGCUGGGCCUAUUUGUGUCUGGUGAGCUGUUUAAAAAUUGCUGAAGACUUUAAAAAGACUUUAAAAACUAUUAAAAAAUACUAUGUGAAGCAUAAUAGUUAAAUAGAUACAGUUGUAGUUAAACAGUAGAAAGGCAGAUUUUACUUUUGACUGUAAAACCAAUAUUAGAACAAGCUACAAACUAAUUUACAAUGUUCUACAGCAACAAUUAGUGGCCUAGAAGAUGACUUCUCAUUAGGAUGACUAUCAGUGGUAGGAGGAUCUGACAGGUGGCUGAAUCAUGCCCAGUGUAGUCAUGCUGAUCUUCACAUGUACAUGCAUCUACCCCAUUUAUUGCUCAGUCAAAUUCCUCCUUUUAUAAUUCUGGAUUGCCACAUUUGCAAUUAUAUUGCAUCCGGUGGAGAGCUCUGAGAUCUGUAAUUACCAAAUACAUCUACAGCAGUCACACAGCAACAGAAGUGACGCUCCUGUACUCAUGAAUGUAAUAUCAAAGCACCGCAUGUGAUACCCUCCUACUUGCCCGUGUAGCUCAGGGUACGGCUGAAAUGAGAGGUGUUUACUGGACAGCUUAUUCUGUGAAGAGCCCUCCCAGUGUAAUGAUGCACAACUGAUAAAUGAGCGGGGGAAACAGACUCAGCUCAUAUGAGCCAAACAGCAUAGAACUGAGUUGUUCUGGAACGUGAUGUUCUUUGCAAUAUCUUCCGUGGCUGCUUGUCUACCUGUAUACGCAUCUGCUGGGAUCCUGGCACAGCCAGAAAGCGGGGGGAGUUGACUGACCCAUGAGCAUGGUUUCUCUAUAGAACGGGCAGAAGACGUUCAUAUUUAUAAAUCGCCUUGUUGUCAGGAGUGAGUGCCCCCCCCACAGCCCAGUCUGUAAGAGGGAAGUGUUAGUAAACAAUAAUCACAGUGGCAGGGAAUUGCCAGUGUAAUGACUGUGUGUAUCCCAACUGCAGGACCCCAUCAAAGCACGAGGGGCCUGUAUCAUCCCCUCUGUCUUUCCUGAGCCCAGCUCAGAGCCACAGAGCUGCCUGUGGGGCCUCCCCUGGCCGUGGCACGGUCUCCAGGUGGGCUCUGGUGCUCCACUGGAAGUGGGGAUGUAACAAGUAGUUCCGAGAAAUGUUUGUUCAUUAAAGCUCCUGGAGAUGUUUGUUUGAGGUCUGAGAAGAGUUCGUAUGCUUACUUGCUUUGUCCUGCUUGACGUAUUUACCUAACAAGGAGAUGUUUGUUUGAGUUCUUA